UUGCUACUCCCGCUGCUCCAUAUUACUUGUCUUAGAUUUGUGUAUAUACGGAUGUAUCUAGACAUAUUUUAGUGUUAAAAUACAUCCGUAUCAAGACAAAUCUAAGACAGGUAAUAUGGAUUGGAGGGAGUAUUGU
rfam:Triticum aestivum genome assembly, contig: Triticum_aestivum_CS42_TGACv1_scaffold_576969_7BL